AGGAAAGGAGAAGGGGAAAGAGGAGGAAGAUCUGCAGGAAAAUCAGGAGAUGGAACAGGAGAAGAGCAUCCUAAAAUUAAUUAUCUAAGCUAAUUAUUGGAUAACCAAGUGUUUAUUCUCUCUCCAGAGACUUUAGCAAAUUUCCAUUACAAGAACUGGAGAGAAGUACAGAUAAUCUUUACAUCUGAUUGAAAACGGGCUUCCUGGUUCUUGAUUUCCACGUUUAAUGGUUCAGUCAAUGAAAACAGUCUCUUCGUUCUGCUUGGUGUAGAGACUUUCCGACUUCAGCAGUUCAUUUUAGCAUACUGUCCCCCUAAAUUUUAUGGCACAAAGGACACGACAAGAAAAGAAGAAAGAGAGAGAGAAAGAAAGAAAGAAGAAAAGAAAGAGGCAAAGGAAAGAACAGGUCACUUUCUCUGAAGGAGAAUUGAGGCAGAAGAUAGGUAAAACUGAGGCAGUUUAGAACCAGUGCCACCAAGACUUCAACCAUCUACAGAUCCCGAUCAUCGGGAUAUCAGAUAUUCUAUGGGCAAAGCCUGUCUGUUUGAUGACUUUUAUAUAAUAUGAGUUUAUGAUGGACCUCCUGGAGACAGAAAGAAAUGAGUUACCUUGUGUGCCAGGAGAAGAUGAAUCAUCCUAUUGCCUCCUACCUCACUGUCGUUUGCUUUGUUCUACAUCUUUUAAAAGCACACCACCCUGCUGUUUGGAUGGUAACCUCUUUACAAACCAUCCCUCCUUCACUUUCUAAUAAAAGUGCUGGUUGAGUGCUCUGUCUCACAAGUUCAAAGACUUCAUUUCACCUUCCUUGCAGGACACAACCUGGGGGGUCACAGAUCAUGGCCACUGCACCAGCAAAUGCUAAGUUCCCAGUCCCUACCACAGCUGCUUUCAUUGACUUUCACAAGUUCCUGAAACUCUGAGUUUCAAAUGCAAAUAUUAUUUUCCCCAGUCUUUACAAGAUUAAUUCCAUUCAUCAUUUUGAAAAAUGUUUUUCUUGAACUAAAACCUUUAUGACUUGGGCCAAACCCAAAUGUGAAUUAAACUAAUAGAGAAAGAAAAUGGACUGUGAGGCAAGGUCUACUUUAUGGGCCUGUCAGAAGCACACAGAGAUGCUGUUAACAGUCAUUUCAAGCCACAGGGCCUCCUGGACUGGUACAAAGCAGACCUCAUCAAGAGAAGCCGUGUAGAGCAGAGCUGGGACUAGAAAAGUAGAGAUAUAAAUGACCAGAGAAGUGCUUCCAGGGUGCUGAGUCAGCUGAAACACAGCCUCCCACUGAGCUCAAUGGAGCUUUUCUCAGUUGCCUGGAGUCUUGGCUGGAGGCUGCUUGGCAGUGCUGCGGGGAAGACAAUUUUUAGUCCAUCGAUUCAUUUGAACUGGGCAGUUUGCCGUGGUACUUAGGCACUCAGACAAACAUGCUCUUAAUCACUAGCAAGCCCAGUAAUGUAGGGAGGCCCAGCAGCUCCAUCAGCACCUCAGGUCUGACCACAGGAGAAGAAUGGCCCAGACAGCUUAGGGUAGCAGUCUUGAAGAACUA
ensembl:lncRNA